GAUGAAGAACGCAGCGAAAUGCGAUAAGUAAUGCGAAUUGCAGAAUUUCCGUGAGUCAUCGAAUCUUUGAACGCACAUUGCGCCCUUUGGUAUUCCUUAGGGCAUGCCUGUUCGAGCGUCAUUUAAACCUUCAAGCUAAGCUUGGUGUUGGGUGACUGUCCGCUUCACUGCGGACUCGCCUCAAAAUUAUUGGCGGCCGGUACAUUGGCUUCGAGCGCAGCAGAAACGCGAACUCGGGCCCGUCGUAUUGGCUCCCAGAAGCUAUCUUCACAAUUUUGACCUCGGAUCAGGUAGGGAUACCCGCUGAACUUAAGCAUAUCAAUAAGCGGAGGA
rnacentral:misc_RNA from 1 species